rnacentral:rRNA from 1 species
UAAUACGUAGGGUCCGAGCGUUGUCCGGAAUUACUGGGCGUAAAGAGCUCGUAGGUGGUUUGUCGCGUUGUCCGUGAAAACUCACAACUCAAUUGUGGGCGUGCGGGCGAUACGGGCAGACUGGAGUACUGCAGGGGAGACUGGAAUUCCUGGUGUAGCGGUGGAAUGCGCAGAUAUCAGGAGGAACACCGGUGGCGAAGGCGGGUCUCUGGGCAGUAACUGACGCUGAGGAGCGAAAGCGUGGGGAGCGAACAGGAUUAGAUACCCUGGUAGUCCACGCCGUAAACGGUGGGUACUAGGUGUGGGUUUCCUUCCUUGGGAUCCGUGCCGUAGCUAACGCAUUAAGUACCCCGCCUGGGGAGUACGGCCGCAAGGCUAAAACUCAAAGAAAUUGACGGGGGCCCGCACAAGCGGCGGAGCAUGUGGAUUAAUUCGAUGCAACGCGAAGAACCUUACCUGGGGUUUGACAUGCACAGGACGCCGGCAGGGAUGUCGGUUCCCUUGUGGCCGGUGUGCAGGUGGUGCA